GUCGUCAGCUCGUGUCGUGAGAUGUUGGUUAAGUCCGUACGAGCGCAACCCUUAUUGUUAGUUGCCAGCAUUCAGUUGGGCACUCUAGCGAGACUGCCGGUGAUAAACCGGAGGAAGGCGGGGAUGACGUCAAAUCAUCAUGCCCUUAUGAUCUGGGCUACACACGUGCUACAAUGGAUGGUACAACGAGUUGCGAGACCGCGAGGUUCAGCUAAUCUCCUAAAGCCAUUCUCAGUUCGGAUUGCAGGCUGCAACUCGCCUGCAUGAAGCCGGAAUCGCUAGUAAUCGCGGAUCAGAACGCCGCGGUGAAUACGUUCCCGGGUCUU
rnacentral:rRNA from 1 species